rnacentral:rRNA from 1 species
GAUGAACGCUGGCGGCGUGCCUAAUACAUGCAAGUCGAGCGAACGGACGAGAAGCUUGCUUCUCUGAUGUUAGCGGCGGACGGGUGAGUAACACGUGGAUAACCUACCUAUAAGACUGGGAUAACUUCGGGAAACCGGAGCUAAUACCGGAUAAUAUUUUGAACCGCAUGGUUCAAAAGUGAAAGACGGUCUUGCUGUCACUUAUAGAUGGAUCCGCGCUGCAUUAGCUAGUUGGUAAGGUAACGGCUUACCAAGGCAACGAUGCAUAGCCGACCUGAGAGGGUGAUCGGCCACACUGGAACUGAGACACGGUCCAGACUCCUACGGGAGGCAGCAGUAGGGAAUCUUCCGCAAUGGGCGAAAGCCUGACGGAGCAACGCCGCGUGAGUGAUGAAGGUCUUCGGAUCGUAAAACUCUGUUAUUAGGGAAGAACAUAUGUGUAAGUAACUGUGCACAUCUUGACGGUACCUAAUCAGAAAGCCACGGCUAACUACGUGCCAGCAGCCGCGGUAAUACGUAGGUGGCAAGCGUUAUCCGGAAUUAUUGGGCGUAAAGCGCGCGUAGGCGGUUUUUUAAGUCUGAUGUGAAAGCCCACGGCUCAACCGUGGAGGGUCAUUGGAAACUGGAAAACUUGAGUGCAGAAGAGGAAAGUGGAAUUCCAUGUGUAGCGGUGAAAUGCGCAGAGAUAUGGAGGAACACCAGUGGCGAAGGCGACUUUCUGGUCUGUAACUGACGCUGAUGUGCGAAAGCGUGGGGACCAAACAGGAUUAGAUACCCUGGUAGUCCACGCCGUAAACGAUGAGUGCUAAGUGUUAGGGGGUUUCCGCCCCUUAGUGCUGCAGCUAACGCACUAAGCACUCCGCCUGGGGAGUACGACCGCAAGGUUGAAACUCAAAGGAAUUGACGGGGACCCGCACAAGCGGUGGAGCAUGUGGUUUAAUUCGAAGCAACGCGAAGAACCUUACCAAAUCUUGACAUCCUUUGACAACUCUAGAGAUAGAGCCUUCCCCUUCGGGGGACAAAGUGACAGGUGGUGCAUGGUUGUCGUCAGCUCGUGUCGUGAGAUGUUGGGUUAAGUCCCGCAACGAGCGCAACCCUUAAGCUUAGUUGCCAUCAUUAAGUUGGGCACUCUAAGUUGACUGCCGGUGACAAACCGGAGGAAGGUGGGGAUGACGUCAAAUCAUCAUGCCCCUUAUGAUUUGGGCUACACACGUGCUACAAUGGACAAUACAAAGGGCAGCGAAACCGCGAGGUCAAGCAAAUCCCAUAAAGUUGUUCUCAGUUCGGAUUGUAGUCUGCAACUCGACUACAUGAAGCUGGAAUCGCUAGUAAUCGUAGAUCAGCAUGCUACGGUGAACACGUUCCCGGGUCU